GAAAUGCGAUAAGUAAUGUGAAUUGCAGAAUUCAGUGAAUCAUCGAAUCUUUGAACGCACAUUGCGCCCGCCAGUAGUCUGGCGGGCAUGCCUGUUCGAGCGUCAUUUCAACCAUCAAGCCCCCGGCUUGUGUUGGGGACCUGCGGCUGCCCGCAGGCCCUGAAAACCAGUGGCGGGCUCGCUGUCACACCGAGCGUAGUAGCAUACAUCUCGCUCAGGGCGUGCUGCGGGUUCCGGCCGUUAAAAGCCUUUUUUACCCAAGGUUGACCUCGGAUCAGGUAGGAAGACCCGCUGAACUUAAGC
rnacentral:misc_RNA from 1 species